GCAAAUCCGCAUUGAAUACACUAGCCACUGGAUAUAAGAUUCUUGGUGAGGACAUAUGGAGAUUUGUUGGAAAGCUAACAGAUGCUCAAAAAAGCAUGUUAGAUGAGAAAUUUAAGUGGAAGGUUCGCGAGAUG